CUUCUCGUGGUGUAGUCGGCAAUGCGCCUGUAUAGUGAGUAGGAGUCGUGAGUUCGAGUCUCACCGAGAGGA
rfam:Aedes albopictus isolate Foshan contig30033, whole genome shotgun sequence.